GCUUGUCUGUGCGAGUUUUGUUUUGCGUGUGGAGUCGUCGAGUACGAGAGCAUUUGCGUUCGCAUCGUUGCCGGCCAAAAAGUCGCGGUUAGCGAAAUACGAAAAGUUGAGUUCGAGAGUGUCGGUGUUCCGCCGCGUAAAAAAAAACAAACACGCGGGUGUUUUUGCGGCUAUUUCGAGUGCAUUUAUCAUUCUUUUUUUCGGUUACUUGCAAGUGAGCGUGAUUACCCCCUCCAACUCCCCCGUCCCGUACCCAAAAGCGAUUAUAUUUGGAAAGCACCGCGGAGAGCGGAGUGAGAGAGAGCGGAUCAACACAAAGCGAGGCUUACUUUGAUGUUGUUAAAUGUACUGCUUACACAUGCAGUUUACUCGCAGAGAAACACUAAAUCUUGCCAAUAAUUGGAUUUAUUUGAAAAACUUUGAAGAUAUCUGAGAUGCUGAGCUGCUCCAUAACCAAGGUAAAGAUUUUUGUUGUUGUCAUUUCCCUAAAAGCUUUUCCACAAAUCCUAUCAAGGGCCAAAGCACAAUUCAUCCGGGACGUACGAAAGAACACCAGAACACCCGAAUGGGAUUCGAACUUUUCCGCAUUCCGGAUGAGCAGUUAGUUGAAUUCAUCCACAUGAUUUUGGGAGAGGAUAUUUAUAUGGUUAAACAUUUGCUACAAAAACAGUAUCACUACGGAAAGCAUGUCAUCGUCAGCCAAUCGUCAUGGUCCUUCAAACUGAGCAGAAACACAGAUAGACCAAACAUCCCACACAUAUAAAGCGGAGAAAGUGAAAAUACAGAGAAAGUGAAAGUGAAAAGGACGAAGGAAAGUUCCGUUGGCACUCAAAACUUGCAAUCAAACGACGAACCUGAUUGCCAGGUUCUUAUUAAAUGGGUGGAAAAAGCAGCAGCACGGCUAUUUGCGAGCUUAGAGCCAGGACAUUAAUUAAUCACGGCCUUGUCAUUCGCAAGGAUCAAGGAGUGGCAUAAACAAGCAACCCAGAAAGAGAUAGAGAGUGAUAGAGAGAGAUAGAGAGAGAGAGAGACGAGC